rnacentral:rRNA from 1 species
AUACGGAGGAUGCAGGCGUUAUCCGGAUUUAUUAGGUUUAAAGGGUGCGCAGGCGGUUUUUUAAGUCAGUGUUGAAAGUUUGCAGCUUAACUGUAAAAUUGGCAUUGAAACUGGAAGACUUGAAUAUGGUAGAGGUAGGCGGAAUGUGUAGUGUAGCGGUGAAAUGCUUAGAUAUUACACAGAACACCGAUUGCGAAGGCAGCUUACUAUACCAUUAUUGACGCUGAGGCACGAAAGCGUGGGUAGCGAACAGGAUUAGAAACCCGAGUAGUCC